GACGGAGGGUGCUAGCGUUGUUCGGAAUCACUGGGCGUAAAGAGCGUGUAGGCGGCCAGAUAAGUCCGCUGUGAAAUCUCGAGGCUCAACUUCGAGCUGUCGGUGGAAACUGUCUGGCUAGAGUCCGGAAGAGGAGAAUGGAAUUCCUGGUGUAGCGGUGAAAUGCGCAGAUAUCAGGAAGAACACCCGUGGCGAAGGCGGUUCUCUGGGACGGUACUGACGCUGAGACGCGAAAGCGUGGGGGAGCGAACAGG
rnacentral:rRNA from 1 species